AGAGUUUGAUCCUGGCUCAGAAUCAACGCUGGCGGCGCGCUUAACACAUGCAAGUCGAACGAGAAAGGGGAGCAAUCCCUGAGUAAAGUGGCGUACGGGUGAGUAACACGUGGGUAAUCUACCUUUUGGUGGGGGAUAACGCUGGGAAACCGGCGCUAAUACCGCAUAAGCUCGCCAUUAUAAAGAUGGUGAGGAAAAGAGAAAUCUGCCGAAAGAGGAGCCCGCGGCUGAUUAGCUAGUUGGUGAGGUAAAGGCUCCCCAAGGCAAUGAUCGGUAGCCGGCCUGAGAGGGCACACGGCCACACUGGCACUGAAACACGGGCCAGACUCCUACGGGAGGCAGCAGUGGGGAAUCUUGCACAAUGGGGGAAACCCUGAUGCAGCGACGCCGCGUGAAUGAUGAAGCCCUUCGGGGUGUAAAGUUCUUUCGGCAGGGACGAUAAUGACGGUACCUGAAGAAGAAGCUGCGGCUAACUACGUGCCAGCAGCCGCGGUAAUACGUAGGCAGCGAGCGUUGUUCGGAGUUACUGGGCGUAAAGAGUGCGUAGGCGGUUUUCUAAGUUUGGUGUGAAAUCUCCCGGCUCAACUGGGAGGGUGCGCCGAAGACUGGGAGGCUUGAGUAUGGGAGAGGUAAGCGGAAUUCCUGGUGUAGCGGUGAAAUGCGUAGAUAUCAGGAGGAACACCUGCGGUGUAGACGGCUUACUGGACCAUAACUGACGCUGAGGCACGAAAGCGUGGGUAGCAAACAGGAUUAGAUACCCUAGUAGUCC
rnacentral:rRNA from 1 species